GAUGAACGCUGGCGGCGUGCCUAAUACAUGCAAGUCGAGCGAACACACGAGUUCUUUUCUCCUCUGACGUUAGCGGCGGACGGGUGAGUUACAUGUGGAUAUCCUACCUAUAAGACUGUGGUAACUUCGGCAAACCGUAGCUACUACCUGAUAACUUCUUGAACCGCAUUGUUCACCAGUGGAAUACGGUCUUUCUGUCGCUUAUAGAUUGAUCCGCGGCGCAUUAGCUAGUUGGUUAGGUAACGGCUUACCAAGGCAACGAUGCGUAGCCGACCUGAGAGGGAGAACGGCCACACUGGCACUGAGAAACGGUCCAGACACCUACGGGAGGAAGCAGUAGGGAAUCUUACGCAAUGGGCGAAAGCCUGACAGAGCAAAGCCGCGUGAGUGAAGAAGGACUUCGGAUCGGAAAGCACUGUUGUCAGGAAAGAACAAAUGUGUAAGUAACUAGGCACGUAAUGACGGUACCGGAAGAAAAAGCCACGGCUAACUACGUG
rnacentral:rRNA from 1 species